CUGUGUGACUUUUGAUUUUAGGUAACAAGACUCCUACAAAAAAUGAAGAUACGACUCAGGCUGCCUCACACAACACGAAAGGCUCUCUAAAUGAGAACAACUUCACGACUCUGGGAAAGAACUCUUACUAUUUCUCUACUGAGAAGAAAAACUGGCAGAACAGCAGAGACUUCUGUUCAAAUCAUCAGGCGACCCUCGCAGUGUUUAAGGAUGAAGAAGAGCUGAACAAAGUUACACAACACAUCAAGAGUCUGGCAGUGCAGGGCAGCUACUGGAUUGGACUGAAGAAUGAGUCAGGCUGGCACUGGGAGGAUGGGACCCUGUUGGACUC